CUUCACCCUGUCUUUAAAAACAUUUCCCUGAAAGCUGUAGGGAGUUGGGGCUUCUGGAGAAUUAGCUGCUUGCUUUCCUUGCUUGGCGUCUCUUGGAUAAAGACUUUCCUUUAUCAACACUGUGUCGGUAGUUUGGUCUUAUUGCGAGAGGGCGCGUAGACCCAAGUUUGGUUCGGUUACACCUCCGUCAUUUUGAUCACCAUCGCACACUUUGACCUCAGGUCAGACCAAACUCCUUGGGUAUAAUAAUGCUGCUGCUGCUGCUAAUAAUAAUAACUAAAUAUGCAAAUCUGCUAAUAAAAAUAACAAUAACUGUGCUCUUUGAGCACUAACUGCAACCCAGACCCUCUGCUAAGCACCUUUGUGGGUCAUCAUCCUUGUUCCGUCUUCAUAACCACUUUGUGAGGGAGACUGAAUGUGACCCUGACUGUGAAAUCUGUGUUCCUGAUAGAAUUAUAUAGAUACAAUCUUCUACUAAUAGCAGCACUUUGGCUUAGUGGUGGCUGGAUCUGUAUUAAUAUUUUGGGUCUUAAUUGGUGACUGGAUCGACAGGAAACCAAAAAAGAAAGAAGGGAGCUGGAACAGUUCUGGCACUGCUGGCUCACCGUGUCUUCCAUCCACCCUGUGUGCCGUGAGAGUAAACGUCAGAGGCAAGACGCGAAUGCCCUUCAGUGAGUCAUCUCUGGGUGGUCCUGCUCACUGAUUUGGGAUCUAACUAAUCUUUAAGCAGUGUUCUCCUCACCCGUAAUUUUCAAAUCAGAGCCUAAAUCUCACAGACAUGAAGGCAAUGGAACAGCAGCGUCUCUGUCUGCAAGGUGGUCUGCUAUGCAGUCGUGAUCACUCUGGUGGCCUUGGCGAACCUGGCCAGCACGGCACUGACCAUUACCAUUCGGAGAGACUGGGUUGUGAGCCAGGUGACAGCAGAGGCCAGCUGGCUGGUGAGCUGUGCCACCCCAAGACACAACAGAGCAUCACAGCUUCUCUAAUCUGCUGAGAAGUGAAAUGAACUCUUAGGAAACCACUGAUGGAUUCAUCAAGAAGCCCUAAACCUUGGAAAAGCCAAGAGACCAGAGGUCUCACCUUAAAGGUAUCUGGUCCUUCGACCUCACCGUGACCCAGCUUCUUCAGGAGAACAUUCCAGAAGCAGAGCAAGGGGCUGCGAACGGUGUGCAAUGCUUCCUGAACCACCUCAUGGCCCUCCAUCCACUUCGUCUGGGUCAUGCUGGCUCUGCGGCCAUGGCAUUUCAGCGUCUCGUCUUCAUCUUCAUCCUAUUUGUAACCAUGGGGCACAUGCUGUAUUUUUUUUUUUUUAAUGCAAGAAAGUGUAAGAUUAGAAACGCCCAUGUUCAGAAGACAGCAAAGAAGGGAGCUUUAACCUGACAGUAUGAAGAUUCCCCUACAUCUAGCAUGGACAGAAGUGUUGACAGAGGGAGGAGUUUUGGCAGAACAACAGAAGUCAAGUACGGCAAUGGCAAAGAAAAAGCCAACUACUAAGCCUGUCUGUCUACCACAUUACUUUAUUGGCUUCCAAAUAAACCCAAUCCUAGGGGACAAAAGAUGUGAAUCCAUAUCAGAAGAGAGAGGCAGUUCUGGAUUCCUGAGGUGUGUAAAGCUUUGAUUCUGCCCCCUCUCUGUAAGGUCUGUUUUCACCAGUCCAUAGCCCUAGGCUUGGUCUUGGAGCUGGGUUCUUCAGGAUAGGCUUCCUGUACAUGAGCUCAUAUGGACUCAACCUGAGUUUCCUUUGGGGGCCAUUUGCAUUCUCAAAAGUGCUGUGGGGAGAAGGGAGAUCUAGGCUGAUGAAUGAACCACAGGAGAAUUCCUAAAUUUUUGCUGAGGGUUUGGUUUGUUCUACUUUUCCUGAGGAUUGUGGCCUCCAAGUAGCGUGUGAACCCCAUUUGAUUCGUAGAGCUCUAGAGUUUCUCUUAGUAAUUUGGGAAAAUAACAUGGGCCCGUUGUGACUCUGGAUGGAUAUAAGGAGCCUGAGCUGAAGAUUACUUCCUUGAGCAAGGCCUUAGACCUCCAAGCAGUCUCUGUUUGAGUGGGGAAUGCUCCAUUAGUUGGAGAAGGUGUCAAAACCAGCAUAGGAGUUCCCUGGUAGCCUCAUGGUUAAGGAUUAGGCAUUGUCACUGCUAUGGUUCGAGUUCAUUUCCCAGCCUGGGAACCUCUGUGUACCAUGAAUGUGGCCAAAAAACAAAACAAAACCAGGAUAUAUCUAAAAUUUAAUUGCCCCAGGGCAUUACUGUGAAAUCAGAUUGCCAGUCUUAACCUGCAUAUGUGCCUUUAUACUGGGUGGGGGUCACUCCCUUGGCCUUGGGUCGGGGGAGGUGUGUUGGGCUUAUUCCAGAGGCAGAUAGGGCAGCUUUUACCACCUGUUUAAGUAGACUGCAGAAAUUGGGAGUAGUCAUGGAUUGGAUAAGCUGUUGAUACAGGGCCUCCUGCCCAUAAAGUAUGCUCUAGUGAGUUUCCCAGAGAGCAAUGGCUGAUGGGAGAAUAGCUGCCCAUGACCAUUAACCAGCUACCUGGGUAUUAUGCCUUUUAAAACAACCCCACCUUUGAGUUUCCUGGUGGCCUAGUGGUUUAGGAUUUGGCAUUGUCACUGCUGUGGCUCAGAUUUGAUCCUUGGUCUAGGAAAUUCUGCAUGCUGUGGGCAUGGCCAAAACAAAAACAGCCCCAUCUCAAAGCCUUUUCCCUUAUUUCUGGGGUGUAUAUGGGAGUGUUGGAGUUAGGGAGUGGGGGAGAUGGUAGGAGUGGCAUUUGAAGUCUGUCUGCACCCUUUGCUGCUUGUGUAACUGCCAUAUCUGCUCUGUUAUUCCCUCUUAUAAUUCCUCCUUCUCCCUUUUGAUGGCCUCUGCAGUGAAUAACUGCUACUCCUUUGGCAGGAGUAUACCCUCCAGCAGCUGCAUAAUCCACCCCCCCCCCAUUAUUAAUCUUUUUAUUCUGAGGUCAGCAUUCCUUUCCCCAUCUAGCUGACCCCAUGGGUAUGUUGGAUUCAACAGGCAUAUUUAGAGUCAGUUUAAAUGGUGACAACUUUGCCUUUCCCAGGUUCUAGUGCUCUGACUAGGGUAGAUAACUCACCUUUAUAGGGAGAACAGACAGAAGGCAAAGCCUCAGCUGUUUGGUCCAAUUCUUAAAGAAAAAAAAAAAAAAAAAAAAAAGCUAACCCGGAGUCAGAGGUCCCAUUUUUGUGUAAGCACUCCCAGGCAGUUAAAACUUCCCACUAGAAUCAAAUAUGUGUCCAUUCCCCAUGUAGUUCUCUUGGCCCUUGCCUUAGUGUUUUGAGGUUAUGUAAUUAGAUGCAUACAUGUUUAGAAAUUAAGACUUUCUGUUGAAUGUACCUUAUAUCUUUUUAAGUGUCUCCUUUAACUCUAGUAAUGUUUUUUGCCUUAAAGUCUAUUUUUCUGAUGUUAACAUAACUAUGCUUGCUUGAGAGGGGGCUGUAGUUGUGUCCAUAUAGAUGGAGGGGACUGGUCAGGUAAAUCUAACAUGGGAGCUUUCAUGAGAUGAUUUUUUAUUUCAAGGAAAGCCUGGACAAAGUCAGGGAUCCACUAGAAAGGGUCCUUCCCUUUUAAUUGUUCAUAAAGGGCUUAGCAAUUAAACCAAAGUUUGGGAUCCAUAUGCAGAAGAACCCUCCCAUCCCCAGAAAACCCUGGGGCUGCUUUCUUGUACUCUUGGGGGGCUGCCAUCUGGUAAAUCAACUCCUUCUUCUCCCUAACUAGUGCCCCAUGCCCCUUUUCUGUAACAAACCCUAAGUAUUCUUCCCACUGGAGGGAGAUCUGGGCUU